AUUAUUUUGGCAGAUAAGUGCAACGGAUUUAGAAUUCGUGCAUGUAGUAAUAUAAUUCUACAGGUAAUA
rnacentral:tRNA from 1 species